GAUGAAGAACGCAGCGAAAUGCGAUACGUAAUGUGAAUUGCAAAUUCAGUGAAUCAUCGAGUCUUUGAACGCACAUUGCGCCCCCUGGUAUUCCGGGGGGCAUGCCUGUCCGAGCGUCAUUGCUGCCCUCAAGCACGGCUUGUGUGUUGGGCCCCGUCCUCCGAUCCCGGGGGACGGGCCCGAAAGGCAGCGGCGGCACCGCGUCCGGUCCUCGAGCGUAUGGGGCUUUGUCACCCGCUCUGUAGGCCCGGCCGGCGCUUGCCGAUCAACCCAAAUUUUUUAUCCAGGUUGACCUCGGAUCAGGUAGGGAUACCCGCUGAACUUAAGCAUAUCAAUAAGCGAGGA
rnacentral:misc_RNA from 1 species